UAAUACGGAGGGUGCAAGCGUUAUCCGGAUUUAUUGGGUUUAAAGGGUCCGCAGGCGGGCUUGUAAGUCAGGGGUGAAAUCCGGCAGCUUAACUGUCGAACUGCCUUUGAUACUGCAGGUCUUGAGUGGGAAUGAAGCAGCUGGAAUGUGUGGUGUAGCGGUGAAAUGCAUAGAUAUCACACAGAACACCGAUAGCGAAGGCAGGUUGCUAAUUCUCAACUGACGCUGAGGGACGAAAGCGUGGGGAGCGAACAGGAUUAGAUACCCUGGUAGUCCACGCCGUAAACGAUGGAUACUGUCUGUUGGUUUGUAAGAAUCAGUGGAUAAGCGAAAGUGAUAAGUAUCCCACCUGGGGAGUACGUUCGCAAGAAUGAAACUCAAAUGAAUUGACGG
rnacentral:rRNA from 1 species